rnacentral:rRNA from 1 species
UUAAAUGAGAGUUUGAUCCUGGCUCAGGACGAACGCUGGCGGCGUGCCUAACACAUGCAAGUCGAGC